UACGGAGGGAGCUAGCGUUGUUCGGAAUUACUGGGCGUAAAGCGCACGUAGGCGGCUUUGUAAGUUAGAGGUGAAAGCCCGGGGCUCAACUCCGGAACUGCCUUUAAGACUGCAUCGCUUGAAUCCAGGAGAGGUGAGUGGAAUUCCGAGUGUAGAGGUGAAAUUCGUAGAUAUUCGCAAGAACACCAGUGGCGAAGGCGGCUCACUGGCCCGGUACUGACGCUGAGGUGCGAAAGCUAGGGGAGCAAACGGG
rnacentral:rRNA from 1 species